UACGGAGGGGGCUAGCGUUGUUCGGAAUUACUGGUCGUAAAGCGCACGUAGGCGGCCUUGUAAGUUAGAGGUGAAAGCCCGGAGCUCAACUUCGGAAUUGCCUUUAAGACUGCAUCGCUUGAAUCAUGGAGAGGUCAGUGGAAUUCCGAGUGUAGAGGUGAAAUUCGUAGAUAUUCGGAAGAACACCAGUGGCGAAGGCGACUGACUGGACAUGUAUUGACGCUGAGGUGCGAAAGCGUGGGGAGCAAACAGG
rnacentral:rRNA from 1 species